rnacentral:rRNA from 1 species
UACGGGGGGGGCAAGCGUUGUUCGGAAUUACUGGGCGUAAAGGGUGCGUAGGCGGUCUGUUAAGUUGGAUGUGAAAACUCGGGGCUUAACCCCGAGCCUGCAGUGGAUACGGGCAGACUAGAGGUAGGUAGGGGAGAAUGGAAUUCCCGGUGUAGCGGUGAAAUGCGCAGAUAUCGGGAGGAACACCGGUGGCGAAGGCGGUUCUCUGGGCCUUACCUGACGCUGAGGAGCGAAAGCGUGGGGAGCGAACAGG